CAGGUUUACCUGUGUGACUGCGUACCUUUUGUAUAAUGGGUCAGCGACUUAUAUUCUGUAGCAAGGUUAACCGAAUAGGGGAGCCGGAGGGAAACCGAGUCUUAAUUGGGCGUUAAGUUGCAGGGUAUAGACCCGAAACCCGGUGAUCUAGCCAUGGGCAGGUUGAAGGUUGGGUAACACUAACUGGAGGACCGAACCGACUAAUGUUGAAAAAUUAGCGGAUGACCUGUGGCUGGGGGUGAAAGGCCAAUCAAACCGGGAGAUAGCUGGUUCUCCCCGAAAGCUAUUUAGGUAGCGCCUCGUGAAUUCAUCUCCGGGGGUAGAGCACUGUUUCGGCUAGGGGGCCAUCCCGGCUUACCAACCCGAUGCAAACUGCGAAUACCGGAGAAUGUUAUCACGGGAGACACACGGCGGGUGCUAACGUCCGUCGUGAAGAGGGAAACAACCCAGACCGCCAGCUAAGGUCCCAAAGUCAUGGUUAAGUGGGAAACGAUGUGGGAAGGCCCAGACAGCCAGGAUGUUGGCUUAGAAGCAGCCAUCAUUUAAAGAAAGCGUAAUAGCUCACUGGUCGAGUCGGCCUGCGCGGAAGAUGUAACGGGGCUAAACCAUGCACCGAAGCUGCGGCAGCGACGCUGAUGCGUUGUUGGGUAGGGGAGCGUUCUGUAAGCCUGCGAAGGUGGCCUGUGAGGGUUGCUGGAGGUAUCAGAAGUGCGAAUGCUGACAUAAGUAACGAUAAAGCGGGUGAAAAGCCCGCUCGCCGGAAGACCAAGGGUUCCUGUCCAACGUUAAUCGGGGCAGGGUGAGUCGACCCCUAAGGCGAGGCCGAAAGGCGUAGUCGAUGGGAAACGGGUUAAUAUUCCCGUACUUGGUGUUACUGCGAAGGGGGGACGGAGAAGGCUAUGUUGGCCGGGCGACGGUUGUCCCGGUUUAAGCGUGUAGGUGUGUGUUCCAGGUAAAUCCGGUU
rnacentral:rRNA from 4 species